AUUUUUUCAUUUUUCAAAGAAGGAAAAUUUUUUUCCAACUGCUUGACAAUUAACAACUGAUGCCUAAAUUAAAUGGCAGCUUGUCAUCUUUCAGCUGUUUUGUGGGCAGAAAAUGCCUUUAUCUAUGAUAACAUGAUUGAUAUCAGUCUAGUGAGUAAAUUUUUUUGUGAUUACUAUUUGUAGGUGUGAUAUUUUAUUAUAAUAAGCUAUUUGGGAGCUUG
rnacentral:misc_RNA from 1 species